rnacentral:rRNA from 1 species
CCCUUAGAUGUUCUGGGCCGCACGCGCGCUACACUGAUGCAUUCAUCGAGUUUACAACCUUGAUCGAUAGGUCUGGGUAAUCUUUUAAAUGUGCAUCGUGCUAGGGAUAGAUUAUUGCAAUUAUUAAUCUUCAACGAGGAAUGCCUAGUAAGCGCAAGUCAUCAGCUUGCGUUGAUUACGUCCCUGCCCUUUGUACACACCGCCCGUCGCUCCUACCGAUUGAAUGGUCCGGUGAAGCGUUCGGACCGUGGCCUUUGGACGGUUCGCCGUCUGUUGGCUGCGGGAAGUUCGUUAAACCUUAUCAUUUAGAGGAAGGAGAAGUCGUAACA